GACUAUAAAGUACUCUAGUAAAAUUAUUUAGAAGAUUGCUAAUCCUCUCAGCUACAGAAAUGCCCUGGGAUGCCAUGUUAAAGAACUUCCAUAUCAUGCAAUGUCUGAAGAACAAAGUAGACCUGAGAGGUUAGUACUGCUGCUGUUCAGAGUUCCAAGUGCCACCUGAAGCCUGACAUGUGCCUCAUGAAGUCAGGGAUGAAACAGGCUGUUGAGUUUGGGCGGAUUCUGGCCAGCAUGCACUCAUGUCAGCCGCUGUCCACCAGGGGGUGCAGCUUCCCACCACGUUCUGAUUUCCUGGGGAAUGUGGGUUUUCACUGAUCAUUUCUCCGUGACUUGAACAUUUCUUCAUGUUAAGAAGGAGAAACAUUAUCUAGGUGACGCUCCAGACAUGAAGUGUGCUCCAGGGGUCGUGACUGUACUGCUCUUACUGCUUGGACAAACCCAUGGAGACUCAGUGAACCAGACGGAAGGCCAAGUGAUCCUCUCAGAAGAGGCUUUCCUAUCUAUAAACUGUACCUACUCAACAACAGGAUCCCCCACUCUAUUCUGGUAUGUCCAGUAUCUGGGAGAAGGUCCACAGCUCCUCCUGAAAGCAUUAAGAGACAAGGAAAAGGGAAGCAGCAAAGGUUUUGAAGCCACCUUGGACAAAACAUCCAGAUCCUUCCACUUGAAGAAAGGCUCAGUGCAACUGUCAGACUCAGCUGUGUACUACUGUGCCCUGAGAGACACAGUGAUAGGGACUGCAGGGGGAGCUGGGUGCAAACUCUGAGCAGAGCAGGGCCUG